rnacentral:rRNA from 1 species
UACAGAGGUCUCGAGCGUUAGGCGGAAUCACUGGGCUUAAAGCGUGUGUAGGUGGAUCGUUAAGUACCUUGUGAAAUCCCACGGCUUAACCGUGGAACUGCUUGGUAUACUGGCGGUCUUGAGCCAGCUAGGGGCUACCGGAACAAAUGGUGGAGCGGUGAAAUGCGUAGAUAUCAUUGGAACGCCAAUGGUGAAAACAGGUAGCUGGGGCUGUGACUGACA